GCUCUGCCGGCAGAGCCACGGGCGGAUCUCCCCCCUCCCCAUCGUUGCCUUCCGCCACCGCCUCUCCCACGCUCCCACCGUCCCACCCCAACCGGCGAAAGAAAAAUCAGUUGCGAGCUCGCAAUCCAGCUCCUCCCCCGCCACCCCACGCACGACGCCGGCUCCUCCCGCACGCUCGCGACCUCGCCCUGCUCCGACAUCCCUGCGGCGCCUCCCGCCUGUGGCCUCCCCGCCGACAUCCCCUACCUUCCCCUCUACUUCAUUUGGCAAGUCCUCGCAGCCUCCCCGCCGGUGCAGAGCCGCCACCAUGGAGCAGCUCCGAAGCCGGCCGGAUUUUCCGGCCAAAUCCAGCCCUCUCCGCCAUUGGUGAGCACACCUCUGAGUUCCCCUCCCUCUCCUCUCCCUCCCUCACACAUAAACUGCUGUGCUGGGACGCUUGAGAUCGGGGCCGAUUGCUCGAGCUGCUCGCCGUACUUGCCAUCGCGUCAUCCCCGUCGCCCCGCACUGCCGCCGUCGCGUCGUCCAACCAUCCCACCACGCCGCCGCUGCGGCGUUGAUCCAUAGCCACGUCGCCGCUGCAGCCCCACCACCCACCGCGGCACCACACCGCCUCUGCGGCGUCGACCCCAGCGUCGCCACGGUGCCGCCGUCGUGCCGCCUCCAUCCAGACGCCCUGCCGUUAGUCCGCUUGGUGACCAGGGCCUCAUGUAGAUGGGUCCAGGGGUUGCAGGCGUGCUGCCCCAUUCAAGAGGGCGCAAGCCCAUUAGCUAUUCGACAGAUGGCUUCAAUCUCGUGGAUAGAUGCAGUGAUAGUUCCUUGGUACGAAAUGCACCUGCUAAGCACACUGCUCACCAGAAGUUCGAUGGAAUGCCUCACAGGACCAUUGUUCGAGGGAAGAUCAAUUCAGCAAGAGGUGUCGGGGGCAGAGAACGCAGAGCAAAUCAAUUUUUCUGAAUAAACUAAAGCAGAAUUGCACUGUAUAUGGUCAUUCAAUAGCAACCAUUUGGCUGGACAGAUACCAGAUAUUUUUCAGCACUCAACUUUGACUUGUCUAAACAAUGUUAUCCUAGACUACCAUUAACUGAUAAUUUCAGAACUUGCUAUGAUAGUAUCUAAAACUGUCUCAACUAGAUUCUUAUAUUUCCAUGUCCAAAUAUGAGUGAUUGAUUGUAUGAGUUUUUACCAUUUA